AUGGGCCUUGACGUCGCGGAAAUCUCUGAAUUGGCGGCGCUCCGGCCGAUCCAGACGGCCGUGAGCCGCGCCCGGGCCACGGCGGUGCCGGGGGAGGAUGAUGACGCUGCCGACACCGGCUGUGUCACACCGAAGGCGAGCGGCGCGCGGUCAGCCGCUGCAGGAGGAGCGGACGACGACGACGCCGCCGCGGCCGCCGACACCGGCUGCGUCACGCCGAGGGCGAGCGGCUGCAUCGCCAUGCUGCCCAUCGCGCCACUCCUGCAAGAUGACGGCGUCGACGCUGGCUUCGCCACGCCGCUGGCCACGGGUGGAGUAAUUGGGCCGCGAGACGGCUGCGCCGCUGCCGGCGACGAGAACAGCUUCACCACGCCGACCACGGCCGACAGCGCGCUGUUGCCGUCCACGGUGUGCCCGCCGGCGCCGUGGAAGUCGGCGCCGGCCCCGACGAGGAAGCGGGCGCCGCUGCAGCAGCGGCUCUUCUACCCGGUGCCGAGAGACCUGAGCACCGUCUUCGUCGCCGUGCCGCAGUGCCCGCCGCCCGCCAAGAAGAAGCGGGCGCACGUGGUGGAGUCAUCUGCGCUUCUAGGCACGUGA
rnacentral:rRNA from 1 species